GCGUAAAGCGCACGCAGGCGGUCUGUCAAGUCGGAUGUGAAAUCCCCGGCCUCAACCUGGGAACUGCAUUCGAAACUGGCAGGCUAGAGUCCUGUAGAGGGGGGUAGAAUUCCAGGUGUAGCGGUGAAAUGCGUAGAGAUCUGGAGGAAUACCGGUGGCGAAGGCGGCCCCCUGGACAAAGACUGACGCUCAGGUGCGAAAGCGUGGGGAGCAAACAGGAUUAGAUACCCUGGUAGUCCACGCCGUAAACGAUGUCGAUUUGGAGGUUGUGCCCUUGAGGCGUGGCUUCCGGAGCUAACGCGUUAAAUCGACCGCCUGGGGAGUACGGCCGCAAGGUUAAAACUCAAAUGAAUUGACGGGGGCCCGCACAAGCGGUGGAGCAUGUGGUUUAAUUCGAUGCAACGCGAAGAACCUUACCUGGUCUUGACAUCCACAGAACUUUCCAGAGAUGCAUUGGUGCCUUCGGGAACUGUGAGACAGGUGCUGCAUGGCUGUCGUCAGCUCGUGUUGUGAAAUGUUGGGUUAAGUCCCGCAACGAGCGCAACCCUUAUCCUUUGUUGCCAGCGGUUAAGCCGGGAACUCACAGGAGACUGCCAGUGAUAAACUGGAGGAAGGUGGGGAUG
rnacentral:rRNA from 1 species